rnacentral:rRNA from 1 species
UGCUACAAUGGCGCAUACAAAGAGAAGCGACCUCGCGAGAGCAAGCGGACCUCAUAAAGUGCGUCGUAGUCCGGAUUGGAGUCUGCAACUCGACUCCAUGAAGUCGGAAUCGCUAGUAAUCGUGGAUCAGAAUGCCACGGUGAAUACGUUCCCGGGCCUUGUACACACCGCCCGUCACACCAUGGGAGUGGGUUGCAAAAGAAGUAGGUAGCUUAACCUUCGGGAGGGCGCUUACCACUUUGUGAUUCAUGACUGGGGUGAAGUCGUAACAAGGUAACCGUAGGGGAACCUGCGGUUGGAUCACCUCCUUACCUUAAAGAAGC